rnacentral:rRNA from 1 species
CCCUUAGAUGUCCUGGGCCGCACGCGCGCUACACUGAUGCAUUCAACGAGUUCUACCUUGGCCGAGAGGCCUGGGCAAUCUUUUGAACCUGCAUCGUGAUAGGGAUAGAUUAUUGCAAUUAUUAAUCUUGAACGAGGAAUUCCUAGUAAACGCAGAUCAUCAAUCUGCAUUGAUUACGUCCCUGCCCUUUGUACACACCGCCCGUCGCUACUACCGAUUGAAUGGUUUAGUGAGGCCUUCGGAUCCGCGACUUGUUUUGUGGAGAAGUUGGACAAACUCAGUCAUUUAGAGGAAGUAAAAGUCGUAACA